AGUGAACGCUGGCGGUAGGCCUAACACAUGCAAGUCGAACGGCAGCACAGUAAGAGCUUGCUCUUACGGGUGGCGAGUGGCGGACGGGUGAGGAAUACAUCGGAAUCUACUUUUUCGUGGGGGAUAACGUAGGGAAACUUACGCUAAUACCGCAUACGACCUACGGGUGAAAGCAGUGGAUCUUCGGACCUUGCGCGAUUCAAUGAGCCGAUGUCGGAUUAGCUAGUUGGGGGGGUAAGGGCCCACCAAGGCGACGAUACGUAGCGGAUCUGAGAGGAUGAUCAGCCACACUGGAACUGAGACACGGUCCAGACUCCUACGGGAGGCAGCAGUGGGGAAUAUUGGACAAUGGGCGCAAGCCUGAUCCAGCCAUACCGCGUGGGUGAAGAAGGCCUUCGGGUUGUAAAGCCCUUUUGUUGGGAAAGAAAAGCAGCAGGUUAAUACCCCGCUGUUCUGACGGUACCCAAAGAAUAAGCACCGGCUAACUUCGUG
rnacentral:rRNA from 1 species